rnacentral:ncRNA from 1 species
AGAUAAAAUUUUAUAUUUUAUGGAAUUUAUUUUUAAUUUAUUUUACAUAUAAAUUAUAGUAUUUAAUUUUAAUUAUUUUAAAAAUAAUUAAUAAAUAUUUUGUAGUAAUUAAUAUUAAAAAUUUAAGAAAUUAAGAUUUAGUAAUAUAAAAAUUAGUAACUAAUUUUGUGCCAGCAGUUGCGGUUAAACAAAAGUUAAAUUAAAUUGAUUCAGUUAAUAAUAAAUAAUAAAAUUUUUUAAAAAUAUUAAAUUAUAAGGUGAAAUUUUAAUUUAAUUAAAAUUUAUAAAAGAAAUUAUGAUUUAGUAAAUUUUAUUAUAAACUAGGAUUAGAUACCCUAUUAUUAAAAAUUUAAUUAUAAAUACUAAAAUAGUAAGUAAUAAAUAUUGAAACUUAAAUAAAAUGGCGGUAUUUUAGUUCAUUUAGAGGAAUCUGUCUAGUAAUUGAUAAUCCACGAAUAAAUUUACUUAAUUAAAAAUUUUGUAUAUCAUUGUUAAAAAAAUAUUUUUUAAUAAUAAUAAUAUUUAAAAAUUUAAAAUAAAAAUUAAUUCAGAUCAAGAUGCAGAUUAUAAUUAAGAUUAAGAUGGAUUACAAUAAAUUUAUUUAAACGAAAAUAAUUUUUUAAAAAUAAAAUUGAAGGUGGAUUUAAAUGUAAUUUUAAUUAGUUUAUUAAAAUGAUUAAUAAUUAAAAUAUGUACAUAUUGCCCGUCACUUUCAUUUAAAAAUUGAAAUAAGUCGUAACAAAGUAGAGGUACUGGAAAGUGUUUCUAGAAUGA